GUAAUAUCUUUGUUGACUUUUAGCUAUAUACAGAUAUGGUAAAGAGAUAGUUACAGAGAGUAGAACAUAAAAGAAUCAAGAGAGAGAUAAGAACAGAUUAAGAGAGAAUAGAAAAGAUGAGUAUUUUAUUGAUAGAGUUUCAGAAUGUCUUCUUGUUGAGCUCUCCAACUCAUUUAUACAACUAUUUUUCCUUGUUCUUGACAGUUAUAAUUGCUCCUUCCAAGAUAACUACUUCCUAAUUACUUCCUCCUUCUUUAACCACUUUUCCCUUCUAUUCUAACUCCUCUACUCACUAGCAUUCAAUCUUGACUUAUUCUUAUGCAUGAUUCUCCGAUACAUAACAAGACAUUCUUGUCCCCAAGAAUGUACAAAGUUAGGGAAUUGAGCUUGAAUAUAAGUCCUAUUCUCCCAAGUAGCAUCUUCAAUUGGAA
rnacentral:misc_RNA from 1 species